rnacentral:rRNA from 1 species
UACGAGUGCCCCAAGCGUUUACUCCGGAAUUAUUGGGCGUAAAGGGUGUGUAGGUGGUUUUGUUAGUCUUUUGUUAAAGCUCCCGGCUUAACCGGGAAAAUGCAGAGGAAACGGCAAGACUAGAGGAUGUGAGAGGUCUGUGGAACUCAUGGUGUAGGGGUGAAAUCCGUUGAUAUCAUGGGGAACACCAAAAGCGAAGGCAGCAGACUGGCGCAUUCCUGACACUGAAACACGAAAGCGUGGGUGAGCGAAUGGG